GACAGAGGGGGCAAGCGUUGCUCGGAAUUACUGGGCGUAAAGGGCGCGUAGGCGGGAUGGCAAGUCGGUCGUGAAAUCCUUACGGCUCAACCGAAGAACGUCGAUCGAUACUGCUGUUCUUGAGGGUUGCAGAGGAGACUGGAAUUCCCGGUGUAGCGGUGAAAUGUGUAGGGAUCGGGAGGAACACCGGUGGCGAAGGCGGGCUC
rnacentral:rRNA from 1 species